CAAUGCAGCAGAACCAAAGAGCAGCCAGCGCCCUCCAAGCCUAAUGUGCUCCUUCUCACCACGCAGCUCUUGGCCACCUCGCUUCCUGCCUCUCUCAGUUGAUUCCCUGUGACUCUAUCCCUGCAUGGAGGAGAGACAAGUGAAAAUGAAAGACAGAUGAAUGUGUCAAGUUGAGAGCUCUUUACAUGAUGAAGGUGUUUCUGCUUCAUUGCAUGAAACAGAACAUAGAGCGGUGAUAAAACCCAGCCAGAUCCUUUGGGUUGACUUCCAACCGCAGGUGGUGGUUACUCAUUAGGAAAGAGCGAACACUGUAAUGACUUCAAAACUAAGGAGUGCAAAGCCAAAUAUUCACUAAUAAUCACUCAUCAAGGAGAACAGAUGGCACACGUUGAACACUCCUGAAAAUGAAAGCCCUUGGCUGCAGGGGUGAAUGUCCAGGACCCACAGAAAAUAUCAAGUCAGAUACCUCUUGAAGCACUGAUGGGAAGGUGCAGCUGGACUCCCUGGAACUCUGAAGCUGAGAGACAGAGCACUACGGAAGGGAGCCCCAUUCCCAAGCAUGGUGUCCAAUACACUGAAAGAAUAACUGGGCUCAGUAAUGCACCUAGAGACUCAGAUUCCAGACCUGCCCACUUGCUUUACUAUCCAAAACAACCAUGACACAUGACUUCUCUGGCGGGGUGUUGGCCAAGACAAACUGAACUAUAGAAGAUCCUUGACUUGCCAACGUUCAAAUGAUGAACUUUCAAAAAUAGCGAAACUGGCUGCAGAGCAAAAGCUUUUCAGCUCUGCACAACACCAACAGAU
rnacentral:lncRNA from 1 species